GUGCUCGCUUUGGCAGCACAUAUACUGAAAUUGGGAACAACACAGAGAUUAGCAUGGCUUGCUACAAGGAUGACACACAAAUUCAUGAAGUGUUCCAUAUUUUU
ensembl:snRNA U6 U6 spliceosomal RNA